AGCCCCGUAGGGUAGUGGCCAAUCCUUGCGGUCUUUGGAACCGCGGACCCAGGUUCAAAUCCUGGCGGGGCUA
rfam:Candidatus Altiarchaeales archaeon WOR_SM1_86-2 WORSMTZ_26617, whole genome shotgun sequence.